GAGGAACAAGCUGAGGAAAUGCCGUCAAUAAGAGGAUUGUGUUUGUUUAGACAGCGCAGUGCGUCGUACCGCCUCCCAUGGCAGCCGGCAAUCACUAGAACAUCUCCAGAGAUUAGAUGUUUUUUCCAGUGAAGGAUCUGUUUGCUCAGGGAGGAACCAGCAGCCGCUGUGGAAGUGGGUCCAUUUAAAGCCACACAGGAACUUUAGGUUUGAGUUCAAGCUGAACUCUCCUCUCUGUCGCUCUAUUGGAGCUGAUUCCAGUUCCUCCCAGAAGGCCAGAUGUGGAGUCCGGCUGCUUCUGGAUGCUGAUUGGAUGGAAGCUGUAAAGCUGCUGAAGCCUCUCAGAUAAACACAACUUAACGUUUUCAUUCUUUCAUCGUUUCUACACUGAAAAACUCUUUUAUUAAAGUCAGGAUUGGAGGUUUGUUUCUGCUUCUCUCUGACCUUUCAGAGCCGUUUCUUAGGCUCCAUCUAGUGGCUGAAAGUUCAGCUCUUCAUUUAGGAGACGACUCCCUCAGUCUGAGCUCAUCUGGAGCAGAUAUGGCCUCACAGUGGAAGCUGGAAGAAGGAUAGAAAUGGAACUUUAUUGAUCUCACACUGGUUAAAUUCCCUCUCUGCAUUUAACCCAUCC